rnacentral:rRNA from 1 species
AAACAUGUCUUUUUGAAUUUAAUUUAAAGUCUAACCUGCCCACUGAAUUUUUAAAUGGCCGCAGUAUACUAACUGUGCAAAGGUAGCAUAAUCAUUAGUCUUUUAAUUGGAGGCUGGUAUGAAUGGUUGGACGAGAUAUUAACUGUUUCAUUUAAAUUUAUUAUAGAAUUUUAUUUUUUAGUCAAAAAGCUAAAAUUAUUUUAAAAGACGAGAAGACCCUAUAAAUCUUUAUACUUAUUAUAUUUUAGUUUAUUAGGAAUGUUUUAUUAUUAUAUAUUUAAGUAUUUUAUUGGGGUGAUAUUAAAAUUUAUAGAACUUUUAAUUUAUAAAUUCAUUUAUUUAUGAAUAAUUGAUCCGUUAAUAACGAUUAAAAAUUUAAGUUACUUUAGGGAUAACAGCGUAAUUUUUUUGGAGAGUUCUUAUCGAUAAAAAAGAUUGCGACCUCGAUGUUGGAUUAAGAUAUAGUUUUGGGUGUAGCCGCUUAAAUUUUAAGUCUGUUCGACUUUUAAAUUCUUACAUGAUCU